rnacentral:lncRNA from 1 species
GGUUGGGCCUCUCGAAUAGAUUGCUUGGUAUACCACAUCCCCUUUAGGUUAUUUUCCAUGCGAUGAGGUACCGUGGGUACAUAUCACCGACACCCUUUAAUAGGCUAAGGAGGUAACUUGCAUGAUUUUGAUCUUUGAAAGGGUAUGAAUGUUUGGUUUGUAGUUAGAUAAGAAAGCUAAUAGUUCUAGGAGGCAAAACAAUUUUUUUGUUUAGAUUUUAGGUUGUCAUGAGAGUAGGUCAUGAUCGAUAACUUGAUUUUAGGUUUGUUUUAUUUUAUUUUUUAAUGGGUAAAAUUGUAGUUGUCCAAAUGGACAACUGGUAUGACAUGCCAAGUAAGAACAACUCCAACAACACUCUUAUUUUGCCCAUGCUCUCUCAAACUAUAACUCCUUAUCUAUGUUUCAGCCUCUUCUUCCUAUAGCACCCCAUCAUCUCCUAAGUAUUUCUAAUUUUACAGUAUAUUUUCAUGGGUCCUACUCAUCGAUCCCACUUGUUAGCUUUGUAAAAAGAGAGAAUGGAGGAGUGGUAGGAGAGGAUAAGGGGCUUAGAGGAGGAGAGCCCCUCAUCCAUUCGGGGCUAAAUAGGAGCUCGGUUGGAUGGUUUUUUAUGCAUUUGAACUUCCAAAAUAGGAUAAGGGCUUAAAUAGGGUCUUUGUUGAAGUUGCUCUAAAGCAUGGUUUACUUUUGCCACACUAGGACCAUUUGUUAAAUCCUCAUGAUUGCCUAUGUAAAAUUUUGAGCCUACUUUCUACUGAAUGAAAAGACAAAACAAUUGUUCGGAUAUGCUCAAAAAACCAUUUUUUUUACUUUAGUAAGUAAUGCAAUGGUAUUCAAUUAUUAAAUAUUGUAGAUGUCUUUUAAAACAAAAAUAUUAAAUAUUAAAGUCUAUGAUAUUCAUCUAUGCCAAA